AGAAAUUAAAAUAGUAGUGCAUUAUGUUAAGUCAAAGGCUUUAAGGCAUAUCAUCACAGAGGACCUUACAUAUCAUCACAGAGUAAGACAAUACAUACACAAACUGAUAUCAAAAUACCGAACUGUUAUAGGGCAAAUCAUCACAGAGGUGGCGAAUUACAGGGCAUAUCAUCACAGAGGAACUUACAUACACAAAAUUCUUCCAAACUGAUAUCAAAAUACCGAACUGUUAUACUAAAAUUG
rnacentral:lncRNA from 1 species